rnacentral:lncRNA from 12 species
AUGGUCUCUUCACUUUGUCCACAACAUAGCUGUUGUCCUGACUCCUUUAAUAAGCUCCUGACCUUCUUCCUGAACCCCAUCCUUGGAUCUUUGAUGCUACUGCCAGUAGACUCCUACAGUGCCUUUCUCUUGUCCUUCCCAGGAACCUGGCUUCAUCCUACCACCAGACAUUGUGCUCAAACCAGGGAUGAAGAACUCUACUUGGCCACACUAGUGAAGAUGGGAAAGGAGCAAGGGGGAGAAGGCAGAGAUGUGGCAAUGCUGCGUCUCAGAUUUAUAGAGGAUGGCAGUGGUUCCCAGGGACUAUUAAGAACAGUCUUAUCCUUAAAGAAAAGAAAGUGAAUUGCACUGUGGAAGAAGACAUGAAGUGGUGGAAAAGACUCUGGUGUGGAGCUAAUAAAACCUGAGUUCUCUCUGUGA